rnacentral:rRNA from 1 species
GACGAACGCUGGCGGCGUGCUUAACACAUGCAAGUCGAACGGAAAGGCCCUGCUUUUGUGGGGUGCUCGAGUGGCGAACGGGUGAGUAACACGUGAGUAACCUGCCCUUGACUUUGGGAUAACUUCAGGAAACUGGGGCUAAUACCGGAUAUGAGCUCCUGCUGCAUGGUGGGGGUUGGAAAGUUUCGGCGGUUGGGGAUGGACUCGCGGCUUAUCAGCUUGUUGGUGGGGUAGUGGCUUACCAAGGCUUUGACGGGUAGCCGGCCUGAGAGGGUGACCGGCAACAUUGGGACUGAGAUACGGCCCAGACUCCUACGGGAGGCAGCAGUGGGGAAUAUUGCACAAUGGGCGGAAGCCUGAUGCAGCAACGCCGCGUGCGGGAUGACGGCCUUCGGGUGGUAAACCGCUUUCGCCUGUGACGAAGCGUGAGUGACGGUAAUGGGUAAAGAAGCACCGGCUAACUACGUG